UCAAGAAAGGCAAAGAAAACAAAUUAGAACUAUAGAACCUAAAACAACUAGAGCAUCAUAUCGUAAUUAUUGAAUAAAUCUCAAUUUACAAAACUUUAUGACAAACAGGCUUUAAAAAUGUUAUGUUCAGUACAGUUUAAGCAACCAUAAUUUUUGUAGAUAAAGCUUCCCUCUUCGCUAAUUGCCACAACCAUUAUCACGAGAGGAGGGAU
rnacentral:lncRNA from 1 species